rnacentral:lncRNA from 1 species
UGUAAACUUGCUGAGGAAACUGUAUGUUCCAUGGGCAGUAAAUGGAUUAACUCCUAAAAUACAAAAUCCAGAAAAAUAAAUUUUUAGUAUAUUGAUGCAAAUAAGUAUUUUCUUUUUCCUUUAAUAGCUUAUUCUCAUAUCAUUAAGGAGGACAAAUUGACCAACUGACCACAUAAUCUUUUCUUAUUUCAGGUACUACUGAGGGCAUCUCUGGCAAAACUCUGGAAACUGGAAGUGCCCAAACAGGUCAGGAAUUCUAAUCACGACCUGCUGAGCAGUCUAGUCUCUGAGAGCCACAGAAUGUCAUGUGUAGUCAUUAUACCGCCAAUUCCUUUCUCUCUCAGAGGUCACAACUUUCUCAGGAGGCAAACGGACCACCCGAGCAGGCCCACCAGAGGCCACAACUUCCAUUGAAGAGACUGGUACUUCUGGAACUGGAUUCAAAACUGGUGAGAAGAAACAGCCCCUGAUUUGGCAUAAUAAGUGUUAGGUCUCUUAAGCUUUGCAUGAGAGAGUCUGUGUUUUAUUUAGGGAUGCUGGAAGUGAUUCAAGAUAGUUUUGCUGGUGGAGAUACAAUUUUUUUUGAAUUAUAAUAAUUCUAGAAUGGAGACUGACAGCUUUAUGUCUAAGGAUGGAAUGGAAUUUCUCCAUUCAUGUUACAACAGUCACUAGCACUUGAGGUGGAAUUCAGAAAGUUUUCCAUGAAAGUGUGUGAAAUACAA